rnacentral:lncRNA from 1 species
GAAAGGGCACCGUUUGUGAUUGGUUGGAGAUUCUGGUCAGCCCUGCUGGCUCCUUGCUAACUUGGGGAAAAUGGGAGGAGGAUGGACUGUCACAGACAGAGCCUGGAUUACUUUUGGACAUUGUGAUUCUCAAGCUACCUGAGGGACAUCUGAAUCAUCAGGCUACAUCUGAAAGAGGAGAGUGUUUCCACGGUCGCCUCUACAGUAAAAUUACUUUCACCAAUAACAGAGAGGUGGCGAUGACAAACUUCUGGUGUGUCCUACGCAGAGGAACUCUGUUGAGGGCAAGAGGUCCAGUCACAAGUAGCAAGCCACUGCCCAGCUGCUUGAGGAAAACCACUCUCUUGCCCCUGUGGCGCCCAGUGAGGAUGAUCAGGACAGUCCCGGGAGUGAUGCUGGAGCGCAGCCUCCUCACGUGCUGGCUGAAGGGCUUCUUGCCAUGGCUCAGCAGCUUCCGAGAUAGACCUCACUGUGUAGCCAAGGAUGACCUUGAACUUCUCAUUCUCCAGCUCCCAACUUCCACAUGCUAGGACACGGGCAUGUGUCACUGUACCUGUUUUAUGCAGUACUAGGCACUAGUCAGGGCAUCACGGAUGCUUGGCAGAUGUGCUAACUGAACUGCAUAUUAUACCGUUAAUGUUAAAAAGUUCUAGUUUGCUUCUGUUGCUGUGUGUACUGG